rnacentral:lncRNA from 1 species
CCUUCCUCCCUCUCUCCUUUCUUCCUCCUUCCCUUCCUGCCUUCCUUCCCUCCUUCCCCUUCCUCCCUCCUUCUUUCCCUUCCUUCCUUUUCUUUCUGUCCCUUCAUCCUUUCCUUCUCUUCCCUUUCCCUUCCCUUUCUUUCUUUUUAACAGUUUUAUGGAGGUAUAAUUGACAUAUAGUAAGCUGAUCUUAAAGUGUACAAUUUGAUACAUUUUGAUGUGUAUAUAACAGUAGAAACAUCACCAUAAUGAAGAAAAUAAAUAUAUCCAUCACCCCAUCAAGUUUCCUCACGAUCCUCUGUAAUUCCUCUCUGCCCCCAUUCCAUACUCCUCCUUUCUAGGCAACCACUAAUGUGUUCUUUCAUUAUAUAUUAGUUUGAAUUUUUGAGAAUUCUAUAUAAGUGGAAUCAUACAGUAUUCACUAUUUUUUUUUGUCUAGUUUCUUUCACUCAGCAUAACUAUUUUGAGAUUCAUCCAUGUCACAUGUAUCAUAAACUCUUUUUAUGAAUCCUUUUUAUUGCUGAAUAAUAUUCCAGCAUAUGGAUACACCACAAUUUGUUUAUCCACUCAUGUAGUGAUGAACAUCUGGAUUGUUGCCAGUUUGGGGCUAUUAUAUAUACAGCUGCUAUUAACAAUCAUACACAAGUCCUUGUAUGAAUAUCUGCAUUCAUUUCUCUUUGGCAAAUACCUAGAUGUGGAAUGGCUGGGUAACAUAGUAUGAAUGGUAAUAUGGUAUGUGUAUGUUUAACUUUUUAAAGAAGCUGCCAAGUUGUUUUCCAAGCGGUUGUACCAUUUUCCAUCGCCAUCAGCAGUAUGUAACAGUUCCAGCUCAUUCACAUCCUCACUGACACUUUAGUAUGGUUAGUCUUUUUAACUUUAAUCAUUAUAACAGGUGCUGAAUAGUGUCUCGUUAUGAUUUUAAUUUGCAUUUCCAUAAUGACAAAUGACAUUGAAUAUCUUUUCAUGUGGUUAUUUGCAUCCAUAUAUCUUCUUUGUUCAAACAUUUUGCCCUUUUGUGGGGGGGAGGAAGACUGUCCCUAAGCUAACAGCUGUGCCAAUCUUCCUCUAUUUUUCAUAUGUGGGAUGCUGCCACAGCAUGGCUUGAUGAGCGGUGUGCAGGUCUGCACCUGGGAUCUGAACCCAUGAACUCCAGGCAGCUAAAGCAGAGUGUGUGAACUUCACCACUAAGCCAGCUGGCCAGCCCCUCAUUUUGCCCAUUUUUAAUUGCAUUGUUUGUUUUCUUAUUAUCAAGUUUCUUAUUAUCUUAUUAUCAAGUCUUAUUAUCUUAUUUUCUUAUUAUCAAGUUUGGUGCAUUUUUAUGUAUUUUGGCUACAAGUCCUCUACCAGAUAGGUGAUUUGUAAAUAUUUUCUCCUAGUGUUUUUCAAAGAACAGACAUUCUUAAUUUUAACCAAGGCAGAUUCGAUCAUUCUUUCUUUUAUGGUUCAUGCUUUUGAUAUUGUAUCUAAGAAAUCUUAGCCUAACAUGAGGUCACAAAUAUUUCUUCCUACAUUUUCUCCUAGAGGUUUUAAAGUUUUAAGUUUUACAUUUAGGAAUAUGAUAUGUUUGGGGUUAAUUUUGAAUAUGUUGUGAGGUAUGAGCUGAAGUUCUUUUUUGCAUAUGUAUAUUUAUGAUUUGAUUAUAUUUUAUUUCACUAUUCUAUAUUUCAUUCUUUAAAUUUUUUUUUUUUGAGGAAGAUUAGCCCUGAGCUAACAUCUGCCACAAAUCCUCCUCUUUUUGCUGAGGAAGACUGGCCCUGAGCUAGCAUUCGUGUCUGUCUUCCUCUAUUUUAUAUGUAGAAUGCCUGCCACAGGAUGGCUUGACCAGCGGUGUGUAGGUCCGCACCCAGGAUUGGAACCCGCAAACCCUGGGCUGCUGAGGAGAAAUGUACAAACUUAACUGCUGAGCCACUGUGCUGGCCCCUAAAAUCUUUUAUUUUUGACGGUUUUAAAGCGUCCUUCUGUUCCAAUGUUAUCAAUGCUUUUUCUUUAGGAAUGCCAAGAUGAUCAAUACAGAAGGAUAAAUAGUAUAAACCAGACAAUAUUAAAUGAACAGCUGACAGGUUCUAAGAAGUAGACUAGGCUCCGAGAGAGGAACUCACUAUGCUCAGAGAGAAUCCUGACAGAAGGCUGAAUCCCACUCAAUCUCCCAUCUGCUGGUGGUUAUUGAUUGGUCUGCAGAUGGUGACAAUGCAGGGCAAUACAGCAUUGUUCUGGAGUCCUAUGUAGUCAGCCCUCCUUUCCGCAGGUUCUGCAUUUGCGGAUUCAACCAACCAUGGCUCUAAGGGCAUUUGCAGAUUCAACUAACCACGGAUCUAAGGGCCUAUGGGGGUUGUGCCCACACUGAACACGCACACGCUUUUUUCCCCUGUCAUUAUUCCCUAAACAACACAGUAUAACAACUAUUUAUGUAGCAUUUACCUUGUAUUACGUAUUGUAAGUAAUCUAGAGAUUUAAAGUAUACAAGAGGAUAUGCUAGGUUAUAUGCAAACACUAUGUCAUUUUAUACAAAGGACUUGAGCAUCCACUAAUUUCAAUAUCUGCAGGGGUCCUGGAACCAAUCCCCUCCCACCCCCAUACAGAGUGAUGACUAGAGCACCACUCAUUAAAGGCAGAGUUAAGUCUGGCAAAUUAUACAUUCUGAGCAGCAUGGUUUAUAAGCAAUACUUCUCAAGUUUCCUUUAUCCUCAUCUUCUUUUUUUCCCAAUUAUAAAACCCUUUUUCACAUGACACUUUUCCAGUUUUCCAGAAAGUGCUACUUUUGCCCUGGAGCAAACUGGGUGGAGCAGUCUGUAGUAUCGGCCAGGAAUGCUACUUUGUCCUCUCCAAGGAUAGGUCACUAGAAACUGGAAACCCACAAGUAAUUGCAUCUGCUGCUGCUCCAGGCUUUUCACUUUUCAGCAUUGGGAGGCAGGAAUGGCGGGCGCCCAGGAAACUUGCAUUUUUUACAUUGGUCUGAAAUCACUGGAUCUAAAACUUAAAUUCUUCAACAAACCCUACGUUAAUGAGGAGAUUAGUAUGCAUCUUUCUAGAAAAAGAGGAAAAAAAGAAAGAAGGGGGAAUAAGGUAACAAGUUAGGAGUCACAGGAACUAAUUGAAACUAAGUAUUCUUUACAGAUAUGAGCUUUGCUUCCUGGGUAGCAAAGUUAAGUACAACAAAAAAAAAACAACAAAAAAUAGUUGAAGAGAGAAACUACAGUUUGAAAUAUGCAAU